rnacentral:rRNA from 1 species
UCCGCCCGCUGGCGGCGUGCCUAAUACAUGCAAGUAGAACGCACAGUUUAUACCGUAGCUUGCUACACCAUAGACUGUGAGUUGCGAACGGGUGAGUAACGCGUAGGUAACCUGCCUGGUAGCGGGGGAUAACUAUUGGAAACGAUAGCUAAUACCGCAUAAUAUUAAUUAUUGCAUGAUAAUUAAUUGAAAGGUGCAAUUGCACCACUACCAGAUGGACCUGCGUUGUAUUAGCUAGUAGGUGAGGUAACGGCUCACCUAGGCGACGAUACAUAGCCGACCUGAGAGGGUGAUCGGCCACACUGGGGCUGAGACACGGCCAAGACUCCUACGGGAGGCAGCAGUAGGGAAUAUUCGGCAAUGGACGAAAGUCUAACCGAGCAACGCCGCGUGAGUGAAGAAGGGUUUCGGAUCGUAAAGCUCUGUUGUAAGAGAAGAACGGGUGUGUGAGUGGAGAGUUCACACUGAGACGGUGUCUUACCAGAGAGGGACGGCUGACUACGUG